rnacentral:rRNA from 1 species
GACAGAGGGGGCAAGCGUUGCUCGGAAUUACUGGGCGUAAAGGGCGCGUAGGCGGGAUGGCAAGUCGGUCGUGAAAUCCCUCGGCUCAACUGAGGAGCGUCGAUCGAAACUGCCGUUCUUGAGGGUUGCAGAGGAGACUGGAAUUCCCGGUGUAGCGGUGAAAUGUGUAGAGAUCGGGAGGAACACCGGUGGCGAAGGCGGGUCUCUGGGCAACUCCUGACGCUGAGGCGCGAAAGCGUGGGGAGCGAACAGG